rnacentral:rRNA from 1 species
UACAGAGGUCUCAAGCGUUGUUCGGAUUCAUUGGGCGUAAAGGGUGUGUAGGUGGCGCGCUAAGUCGGGUGUGAAAUUUCGGAGCUUAACUGCGAAACUGCAUUCGAUACUGGCGUGCUUGAGGACUGGAGAGGAGACUGGAAUUCAUGGUGUAGCAGUGAAAUGCGUAGAGAUCAUGAGGAAGACCAGUGGCGAAGGCGGGUCUCUGGACAGUUCCUGACACUGAGACACGAAGGCCAGGGGAGCAAAACAGG